UACGGGGGGUGCAAGCGUUGUUCGGAAUUACUGGGCGUAAAGGGCUCGUAGGUGGCCAACUAAGUCAGACGUGAAAUCCCUCGGCUUAACCGGGGAACUGCGUCUGAUACUGGAUGGCUUGAGUUCGGGAGAGGGAUGCGGAAUUCCAGGUGUAGCGGUGAAAUGCGUAGAUAUCUGGAGGAACACCGGUGGCGAAGGCGGCAUCCUGGACCGACACUGACACUGAGGAGCGAAAGCCAGGGGAGCAAACGGG
rnacentral:rRNA from 1 species